CGAGCACGCGCGUGUGGCAUAUCAAUAAGCGGAGGAAAAGAAACUAACAAGGAUUCCCUUAGUAACGGCGAGUGAAGCGGGAAGAGCUCAAAUUUGAAAUCUUCAAGGUUCUACCUUGACGAAUUGUAGUUUAUAGAAGUGUUUUCUGUUAGUGGAGUGGCAAAAGUUCUUUGGAAUAGGACAUCAUAGAGGGUGAGAAUCCCGUAUUUGGUCAUUCCUCCUAGCGUUGUGAUACACUUUCAACGAGUCGGAUUGUUUGGGAAUGCAGUCCAAAAUGGGUGGUAAAUUUCAUCUAAAGCUAAAUAUUGGCGAGAGACCGAUAGCGAACAAGUACCGUGAGGGAAAGAUGAAAAGAACUUUGAAAAGAGAGUUAAACAGUACGUGAAAUUGUCAAAAGGGAAGCGUUUGACACCAGUGUUGUUUUUCCGAAAAUCAAUUACGAAUGUUUUGUUUUUGAGGAGUUAUGACUUCAUCGGCUUGCUUCCUUUCUUUAUGAAACUUUCUUAAUGCACUUUUCGGUUAACAAGUCAACAUCAAUUUCUUUUGUUGUAAAAGGGUAUGAGGAAGGUGGCUUUCUUUUCGGAGAAAGUGUUUAUAGCCGUGUGCCUCUGCAAUCGAAGAGAUUGAGGUCUGCAGCGUAGAUCCUUCGGGGUUAGAUACAGUUUGUGCUAAGUUAUAGCUUUUCAUAGACAACUUGUUGACUAUGUUUAGUCUUGUAGCUUACUCGCUUAUGCUAUUUUACCUACGCUUAGGAUGUUGAACUCUAUCACACACA
rnacentral:rRNA from 1 species